UACGUAGGGGGCAAGCGUUAUCCGGAUUUACUGGGUGUAAAGGGAGCGUAGACGGCAGCGCAAGUCUGGAGUGAAAUGCCGGGGCUCAACCCCGGAACUGCUUUGGAAACUGUGCAGCUAGAGUGCGGGAGAGGUAAGCGGAAUUCCUAGUGUAGCGGUGAAAUGCGUAGAUAUUAGGAGGAACACCAGUGGCGAAGGCGGCCUGCUGGGCUUUUACUGACGCUGAGGCUCGAAAGUGUGGGGAGCAAACAGG
rnacentral:rRNA from 1 species